ensembl:lncRNA
GGGCUCCGGCCCCAAUUUCUCGCAAGCUGAGCGCACCCCGGGCGAGGAGUCGCCUCGACCGGGCGCACCUCCUGUGGUCAGUCUCGGGCGCUGGUUCCCCACGCUGGCCCUGUCAGGGCGCAGUCGGUCAGCUUUUCAUUAGCAGAAAACCCCGGUCGGCACGCCGGCGCCGCGCAGACGUCUCGGUUCAGGGUGAAGCCGUCGCCAGCUCCGGGGGGUGGGCAAGACCGCUUGGGGGCAACAGGAGCCUGUUUCUUGUUGAAUGCCGCCGCAGCGUCAGGGAGCGCUGGAACACGUGGCAGUGGUGGACUCUGCUUGACCUUGGGCUGACUCCAGGCUCCCAUCAGUGGAUUAGGGCACUCAAACUCGCCUCACACCGACCAGUGCCCGAUCCAAAUCCAGAUCCCUCUGGACUCAGCCCCCUGCAGGGAGUCCCGGUAAGAGAAUGUUCUAGUUCCUCUCCAAGCCCCAGGAAAGCAGUGUACUCCUGCCUUGAGCCUCCAGCAGCUCUCAUGCCAGACAAGGAAGCACUGCCCCAGUGCCCUGAUGCCUUCACAGAACCUUAGAUCCAACCAGGCACAUUGGUGUCUCUGGCCUACAUGACAGAGCAAGUUUCAUAAUUCAGGGUCCUGAACUGAUGGGGCUUGGCAACCCUGUACCCCAACCUGGCCUGCUCCUGUAAGCAGGGCACACCCAGGAUAACACAAGGAGUGCGAGGGGGAGCUGACACAUGGGUCUAUAGAGAGCCUGACUUAGGAUGUCCACAGGGUGGGCACCAGCCCAGUGUUCAGGUGAUAGGGCACUGAGGCCCUGAAGGUUCUAUUUGGAGGUGGGGAAGGGGGCUGCCUCUUACCUCUGUAUCCACUGCAGGACGCUCCAGGGCCUCCACACCGCUUUUUGCUGAGCCGUGGUUCUACUGAGCUAUCAGAGACCCUUGCAGGGUUACAUUGUUCUCUGGGCCAGCCCGGAUCACUUUCCCUUGGAUCCAUCUGGGCUUGGGGUUUUAGGGCCCCUGGUUCUCCCUGAGUUCUUUUUGUUUCCUGAGUGACACAGAGUGCCUUGACUUAGGAUUUGGCCAGCUGUUUUCCCUGUAGGUCUGAAUCCAAGUCGGGACCUUGGAUGUUCCUAGGCACCCAUAAAGCUGCUUAAGUUGUUCCUCAAAUAUACUGGGAGAUAACUCUGUUCCUAAACAGGUAGGAACUAGCCCCAGACUUGAACUAAAUCCCUGAAGCCCUCUUCUAAACUCCAUAGCCAGACCCCCUCCUUGCAGACAAACUUUGGUAGAACCUGUCUGGUCUCUAGGAAGCUGGGCCCUGUAAGUUCCCCUAGUAAGUGCUGAAGAAUUAGUACUUCUUAACUUGAAAUCUCAACUUGGGAUGGUUUAGGGCACUCCCUUGUGGGAAUCCCCCUAUAUUGCCCUUGAGGUGUCUCCAGCCUUUGUUUCAGCAGGGUUCCAAGCUGUACAUGUUUCCAGAAACAUCCCGACUAAAAAGCUAUUUUCAAAGAGAUGCUGUAUCUCCAGGAGCACAUUGGUAUCCUGACAGAUAAGCCAGAGCUAUGCAACUUUAAACAGGCAAGGACAGAUGGGGCACUCUAACAAGGCUAGUACUCUCCUGGACACACUCAAGUCUCACAGUGAUUAAAAUGUACUAGGGCUUUUUUUUAAUCAGGUGUGAUAAGACACACACAGAAAUGGAUGUAAUGAAAGAAUUUGGUUUAUGGACACAAGUCCCUAGAAACAAGAAGCAGGGCAUGCCACACAGGGCCAACUGGGAAGGAUCAGGAGUGGUCAGGGCAGAAAUUUACCCCUGGUUUCUGGUUGAAGGACAGAUGGUACCCAGAUAUCUUGUUAGAAAAAACAUUUUCUAUGCACAGGCACCCAUAGAGUUCUGUCCAUGUGUUCUACCUUGCAUGGUGGGAGCAAAACCAUUGUAACAGACUCAACUGCUGAAAAUCCAGCAGCUCGGAGGCUGAAGCAGGUGGAUUGCAAGUUCAAACCAGCCUCAGCAAGAACAAGGCACUAAGCAACUCAGUGAAACCCUGUCUCUAAAUAAAAUACAAAAUAGGGCUGGGGAUGUGGCUCA